ACGCUGGCGGCAGGCUUAACACAUGCAAGUCGAGCGGUAACAGGAGAAGCUUGCUUCUCGCUGACGAGCGGCGGACGGGUGAGUAAUACUUAGGAAUCUACCUAGUAGUGGGGGAUAGCACGGGGAAACUCGUAUUAAUACCGCAUACGACCUACGGGAGAAAGGGGGCAGUUUACUGCUCUCGCUAUUAGAUGAGCCUAAGUCGGAUUAGCUAGAUGGUGGGGUAAAGGCCUACCAUGGCGACGAUCUGUAGCUGGUCUGAGAGGAUGAUCAGCCACACCGGGACUGAGACACGGCCCGGACUCCUACGGGAGGCAGCAGUGGGGAAUAUUGGACAAUGGGGGCAACCCUGAUCCAGCCAUGCCGCGUGUGUGAAGAAGGCCUUUUGGUUGUAAAGCACUUUAAGCAGUGAAGAAGACUCCGUGGUUAAUACCCACGGACGAUGACAUUAGCUGCAGAAUAAGCACCGGCUAACUCUGUGCCAGCAGCCGCGGUAAUACAGAGGGUGCAAGCGUUAAUCGGAAUUACUGGGCGUAAAGGGAGCGUAGGUGGCUCGAUAAGUCAGAUGUGAAAUCCCCGGGCUCAACCUGGGAACUGCAUCUGAUACUGUUGAGCUAGAGUAUGUGAGAGGAAGGUAGAAUUCCAGGUGUAGCGGUGAAAUGCGUAGAGAUCUGGAGGAAUACCGAUGGCGAAGGCAGCCUUCUGGCAUAAUACUGACACUGAGGCUCGAAAGCGUGGGUAGCAAACAGGAUUAGAUACCCUGGUAGUCCACGCCGUAAACGAUGUCUACUAGUCGUUGGGUCCCUUGAGGACUUAGUGACGCAGCUAACGCAAUAAGUAGACCGCCUGGGGAGUACGGCCGCAAGGUUAAAACUCAAAUGAAUUGACGGGGGCCCGCACAAGCGGUGGAGCAUGUGGUUUAAUUCGAUGCAACGCGAAGAACCUUACCUGGUCUUGACAUAUCUAGAAUCCUGCAGAGAUGCGGGAGUGCCUUCGGGAAUUAGAAUACAGGUGCUGCAUGGCUGUCGUCAGCUCGUGUCGUGAGAUGUUGGGUUAAGUCCCGCAACGAGCGCAACCCUUGUCCUUAGUUACCAGCGGGUUAAGCCGGGAACUCUAAGGAUACUGCCAGUGACAAACUGGAGGAAGGCGGGGACGACGUCAAGUCAUCAUGGCCCUUACGACCAGGGCUACACACGUGCUACAAUGGUAGGUACAGAGGGCAGCUACACAGCGAUGUGAUGCGAAUCUCAAAAAGCCUAUCGUAGUCCAGAUUGGAGUCUGCAACUCGACUCCAUGAAGUAGGAAUCGCUAGUAAUCGCGGAUCAGAAUGCCGCGGUGAAUACGUUCCCGGGCCUUGUACACACCGCCCGUCACACCAUGGGAGUUGAUUGCACCAGAAGUGGGUAGCCUAACCUUUUAGGAAGGCGCUCACCACGGUGUGGUUGAUGACUGGGGUGAAGUCGUAACAAGGUAGCCGUAAGCUUG
rnacentral:rRNA from 1 species